CUUUCAAAUUCUUUUUAUUAGGCAAUUUUCCAAAUAUUUUUUUAUUACAAACAUAGAAAAAAAAAUGGAUGCUCCUCCAAAAUAUCAAAAUAUGUCAUAUUAUGAUAAUGUCCAAAGGCAACAUGAAGAAAAAGGAUGCCUCUAUGCUUGUAUGUUUGCGAUGUGUUGCUGCUUCUGCUGCAAUGGAAGGACUUGUUGUUGCUGUUAGCACAAAUUAAUCAUCGUCGUCGUUGAUUAUGUUAUUCAGACUCUUUAAAAAUAUUAUAUGAUGUGUACGUUUUUUUUUUAAAUUAUGUAUUUUUAUAUGAUUCGAUAUGAAUACAAUAACAAUAUUUAAGAAUUCGAGCAAAAUAGAUGCAGAGUAGCUUGUAACGUUGAUGUUUCAAUAAAAUUGGAUGUUAAUUGAUUAUGCUA